AGAGUUUGAUCAUGGUUCAGAAUCAACGCUGGCGGCGUGCCUAACACAUGCAAGUCGAACGAGAAAGUGGAGCAAUCCAUGAGUAAAGUGGCGACCGGGUGAGUAACACGUGACUAACCUACCUCCGAGUGGGGAAUAACUCCGGGAAACCGGGGCUAAUACCGCAUAACAUCGCAAGAUCAAAGCAGCAAUGCGCUUGGAGAGGGGGUCGCGGCUGAUUAGCUAGUUGGCGGGGUAAUGGCCCACCAAGGCGAAGAUCGGUAUCCGGCCUGAGAGGGCGCACGGACACACUGGAACUGAAACACGGUCCAGACUCCUACGGGAGGCAGCAGUGGGGAAUUUUGCGCAAUGGGGGAAACCCUGACGCAGCAACGCCGCGUGGAGGAUGAAGCCCCUUGGGGCGUAAACUCCUUUCGACUCGGAAGAUGAUGACGGUACGAGUGGAAGAAGCACCGGCUAACUCUGUGCCAGCAGCCGCGGUAAUACAGAGGGUGCGAGCGUUGUUCGGAAUUAUUGGGCGUAAAGGGCGCGUAGGCGGUGCCACAAGUCACCUGUGAAAUCUCCGGGCUUAACUCGGAGCCUGCAGGCGAAACUGUGGUGCUGGAGUAUGGGAGAGGUGCGUGGAAUUCCCGGU
rnacentral:rRNA from 1 species